ACCCUGCCAUCUGCACCCCAGCAGAAGUUACUGAAAUGUGGGAAUUUGAGGUUAAUCUGCAGUGCAGUAGUGCAGGUCAGAGGCUGGGCCCGAGUCUCCCCUGCAUUACAGCGGCGUUCAGCCUCGCUGACAGCUGUGUAACACGCGAGAUCCGCCUCCAGCGAAGCCCGCAGGGACAGCCCUGAGCUAGCUCCGAGCUGCUGCACUCCAGCGCUGCUGCCAGCUUAGGAAGGAGCCCAGAGCAGCCUGUCUGCUUGAGCACAAACUCCCCAGCAAACCUGAGCUGCCGAGGCUGUGUGGAUAGCAGCACAGAAUAGCAGCAACACAUUGGUCCUUUUAGAGGUGCAUUCAGCUACAGGAUGCCCACAGAAGGAUGCAGAGAAGUUGAAGCAGCAUUUGCUACUUUCCUGAAGCACAGCUACCUAAGCAGGUUGCACCUGCUCUCAAGGAUACUACCCAAGGAUAAACAUAGAGAAGGCACAAGGCCAGCACCAGAAGUGCUGUUUCCGCAGGACUUGCAGGCAGAGCUCUGUUGUCACCUUUGCUCUGCUCUUGCCACACUGCAGCACCUAGCCCUGGGCAAGAUUGAAGCUGGGAACCAAAAGCUGGCUAGCACAGAGCCCAAAAUACCCAAGGACAUCCAUGACACAAUCUCAGAAGAGCCUGUACCAGCUUAUAAAUUGUCUGUGCAGUGGGAUCUGUCAGGAGGAAGCACAACCUGCCUCCAUGGAGACGACAAAGUUUGGGACUGAAGCAGUGAGAGGCAUGGGAUCAUCAUGGAGCAUUGCUGUGAGCUUUGGUAAUAAACUGACCCCGCAAAAGAGAGAAGGAAGGAGAGGAUUCCUGCUGCCCUGGGCAUGGUGCAGGUAGCCCAGGGCAACUAUCACUAAGAGACAUCAAUGUUUUUUCCAUCUGAGUGCUAAGCUUUAUAAACAGAAUAAAGUAUCAUGCAGAGGACUGCUUA